GAUUUGUUUUUUCUUAACAUUAUAUUGCAGACGGCUCAUUAUAACAGUUAUUGUAUUAUUGACGUUAAAUUUUAGGUGGAUACCUGUGGUAAUUCUAGAGCUAAUACAUGCCACAAAAAAUGUACAUUUGCGUAUAUUAUUAAGGUAUUAUUUUUUUUCAAAUUAAAAUGUUUCGGCRGKAUGGAUGAUUCAUAGUAAUGGUUUUARAACGCGAUUGAGUACSCGCCCUGUUAUGUAAGUUUCWGACCUAUCASUUAGKCAGUAGUGUAUUGGACUACUGAGGCGUUGACGGGWAACAAAGAAUUAGGGUUCUGUUCCGGARAGGGAGCCUGAGAAACAGCUACUACAUCUAAGGAAGGCAGCAGGCGCGWAAAUUACCCAAUUCUGAUAAAUAGAGGUAGUGACAAGAAAUCAUAAUAUUUUGCCUUAGGGUUAAGUAAUUGUAUUGARAACAGAGUAGUCAUAUUAUCGAUAAACUA
rnacentral:rRNA from 1 species